rnacentral:rRNA from 1 species
UACGUAGGGUGCGAGCGUUGUCCGGAAUUAUUGGGCGUAAAGAGCUUGUAGGCGGUUUGUCGCGUCUGCUGUGAAAUCUCAAGGCUCAACCUUGAGUUUGCAGUGGGUACGGGCAGACUAGAGUGUGGUAGGGGAGACUGGAAUUCCUGGUGUAGCGGUGAAAUGCGCAGAUAUCAGGAGGAACACCGAUGGCGAAGGCAGGUCUCUGGGCCACUACUGACGCUGAGAAGCGAAAGCAUGGGGAGCGAACAGG